UUUGAGGGACGGAUGGACAGGGAGGGAGAGAGAGAGAGGGCAGAGAGCAUGUUGUGCGUUUUUUGUACGUUUUCUGUGUGAAUCUGAAGCUGUUGUUAUCAUCUUUUCUCAAACAGGCAAGCUCUCUGAUUUCUCAAGCUCCAGGAAGCAUCCUUCUUCGAGUUUUAGGGUUUCAUUAUGUGAGCUUCCAAGCUUUUUCUGGGUCAGGUAUAUAAUUUAUCUCUUUGGUGUUAAUUUCUUUUUGUUUGGGUUUUUUGAUUGUUUGUGCUUCCAUUUUUCCCUGAAACUU